rnacentral:sRNA from 22 species
GUCACUAACCCCGCCCUAAAAGGGACGGGGCUUGCCUAGACCAAUUUAGGCGACGCAAGUAGAGACUACCGCAUCGAGACACAAUCUGGCACAGACUUCCGAAUGCUUCCCUAGUUCGGAUUCUCUCUA